rnacentral:rRNA from 1 species
UACGUAGGGUGCGAGCGUUAAUCGGAAUUACUGGGCGUAAAGCGUGCGCAGGCGGGCUUUUAAGCCAGACGUGAAAUCCCCGGGCUCAACCUGGGAAUGGCAUUUGGGACUGCAAGGCUCGAGUGCGGCAGAGGAGACUGGAAUUCCUGGUGUAGCAGUGAAAUGCGUAGAUAUCAGGAGGAAUACCGAUGGCGAAGGCAGGUCUCUGGGCUGACACUGACGCUCAUGCACGAAAGCGUGGGGAGCAAACAGG